GUAAAUGGGUGGUUGACGUUUUAGGCAAAAAAAAAGUUUUUGAAAAAAAAUUCAGAUAUUAGGCAUGGAAAUCACUUAGUCCUGUUGUACUGACCCUUCCAUUCCCAAAAAUAUGUAUGGUCUUAGAUUUUGUGUUGAAAUUCAUAUUUAUUCACUAAUUAGUUGUGGUAGUGACUAAAAUUGUCAUAUGGCGUGACAUGAAAGUUAUUGUUUGUAAAAUUAUAAUGGGGUAUUUUUGUGCAUGUUAUGUCAGUGU